UACGUAGGGGGCUAGCGUUGCUCGGAAUUACUGGGCGUAAAGGGCGCGUAGGCGGAUAGUUUAGUCAGAGGUGAAAGCCCAGGGCUCAACCUUGGAAUUGCCUUUGAUACUGGCUAUCUUGAGUUCGGGAGAGGUGAGUGGAAUGCCGAGUGUAGAGGUGAAAUUCGUAGAUAUUCGGCGGAACACCAGUGGCGAAGGCGACUCACUGGCCCGAUACUGACGCUGAGGCGCGAAAGCGUGGGGAGCAAACAGG
rnacentral:rRNA from 1 species